AGCGAACGCUGGCGGCAGGCUUAACACAUGCGAGUCGAGCGGGCACUUCGGUGUCAGCGGCAGACGGGUGAGUAACACGUGGGAACGUACCCUUCGGUUCGGAAUAACGCUGGGAAACUAGCGCUAAUACCGGAUACGCCCUUUUGGGGAAAGGUUUACUGCCGAAGGAUCGGCCCGCGUCUGAUUAGCUAGUUGGUGGGGUAAUGGCCUACCAAGGCGACGAUCAGUAGCUGGUCUGAGAGGAUGAUCAGCCACACUGGGACUGAGACACGGCCCAGACUCCUACGGGAGGCAGCAGUGGGGAAUAUUGGACAAUGGGCGCAAGCCUGAUCCAGCCAUGCCGCGUGAGUGUUGAAGGCCUUAGGGUUGUAAAGCUCUUUUGUCCGGGACGAUAAUGACGGUACCGGAAGAAUAAGCCCCGGCUAACUUCGUG
rnacentral:rRNA from 1 species